AUGCCAAACAAUAAUCAUCUACUUGAAGAAGUAUGGGAGGUCGAGCACGUAGAGGAGGAAGUAGGCCCAGAUGGCGCCCGAGACACCGCCGAAGAAGAAGCCUCCGGUGAACUGCGACCAGCCUUCCGCAGUCUGCAGCUUGUCGGCCUCCUUCUUGCGGCCGGUGAGCGUGAGCGCGGGCGCGGUGGAGGGCGCGCCCUCGUUGAAGGAGGCGACGCCGUACAUGGUGAGGCAGACGCUGAGGAUGGAGACGAGGCCGAUGGCGCCGAGGGUUCCCGCCUGGCCGUGAAUUGGCGUGUUGCGGAGCGGGCCGGUGAGCGCGAAGGGGCCGACGAGGAGAUAGCCGUGGGCGAGGCCGACCUCGAUGCCGCGGAGGAGCGGGCUGACGGCGGUGCGGUACGCGGGGAGGGGGCUGGAGGUGACGGGCGUCUCCAGGCUGCCGAUGAACGGGUCGCCGUUGAUGGGCUGGACCACCUGGUACGUCCCCUGUUUGUAGGAGAGAGAGGAGACACAAGAAUAUGUAUGAGAUACAAGUGUGGUGAAUCGCUUAAUUUUAGCUCUCUCUUCCAUGCAAUUGCAACUGACCUUGUCAGACUUGACGGCCUUGACGACGAAGCGGGGCCUCCUGGUGAGUGA
rnacentral:rRNA from 1 species